rnacentral:rRNA from 1 species
UAGCUAUGUGGGGAAGAGAUAACCGCUGAAAGCAUCUAAGCGGGAAACUUGCCUGAAGAUAAGUCUUCCUGGAGGCUUGACCUCCCUAAAGAGUCGUUCGAGACCAGGACGUUGAUAGGUCGGGUGUGCAAGCGCUGUGAGGCGUUUAGCUGACCGAUACUAAUUGCUCGUGCAGCUUGAUCCUAUAACC